UACAGUCUCACUCAUCACAACUGGACUGUAUGCCUGAAACCAUAACGAGCCAAGUACCUCCCUCGGAGUUCACAGUAAAUCCACGGAGGAGAGGAAGAAACUGCAAAGAACUUGCCAGAUAACAAUAAAGAACCCGAGGAAAUGUCAAUCUGCUUCGGGAUGCUCCAAAAAUGGGAAAAGAAGCAAGAUUUGCUGAAUAAACAAUUAUUCUCUGAGCUCCAGGAGCCAAAUAAAAGGAGGGAGAAGGAUCCAGAAUAUGUCACAAGUAAUAGAAGGUAUGAUGAUAUCGGCACAGGAGGAGCGUAUUUCCUAGGAGGGAUGACAAAGAGGAUCUGUCUCCUUAUUGGCAUUUUUCAGGGACAGAACAAGAGCAACUGCUAUUGUUCUGCAGCCUACAAAUGGGUUCUGGGAACCCAAGGAUGGCGUGAAAAUCCAGAAGAGGGGAAGCGGUGUACCAGGAAAGGGCAGAGCAAGAGGUCUGAUAUGGGUGACAGAGGCUCCAAGGUCCUCUGGAAAUGUGGCGCCUGAGUAACCCUGACACAACAGCUGUGCUCAGAUGCAGUGGCACUUCAAAGCAACGAGUUCAAAACAUGUUUAUAACCCUCAGGCUACUAUACACAUACUACGAGUUGAGGGUCUCCACUAUCUGCUUCUGCUCUGGCCAUGAAGAAACCAGCAAACACAUUAGAAACUGUGUUACUUACUGCAAAGGUUAACCUAAAGAGAUGAUCCAGCUCAAACUCCUUUGUGGGUAGCCUAGAUAGUUUACAAAGGGAGACAAAUGUGAGUUGGCAAGACCUGAGGUAUCUUAGAAAAGCAUUUCUGAAGUUUCCACAAGACUGAUGUGUGAUAAAUGUCUAUUCAAGAUGGAGUGAUUUAAAAAUACCAAAUAGCAAGGAAAAAAAAGAAAAAAGAUGAUUGGAGUAAUCUAUUUUAAUUAUGCUUCAUAUUUGUAGUUAUUUCCAAAACCCCCUCAAAAUUACCAGAAAACAAAACUAAACAAAACUAAAAAGGUUGCUUCCUGUUAGCUGGGAAUUGAAGCAUCCUGAUUUGAAACUAAAUAUAGCCCUUCCGCUAAAUUUGGUAAGUUUUUGCUAGCCUGGGCUCUCUGCACAUGUAAAUAGAACAAUCUAAUCGCUCACAAUUAUUCAGAUCCAUAAUUUGCAUUUAGUUAUGUUAGAAAAUAGUGAAUGGCUUUGCUUAUUUACAUGAUAAUUAUUUUUUGCUCCCCUUUGAUUUGUGUCAAGCUAUUUUGGGAUGAGAAUUGGAAUUCAAUUAAGAUGCAGAAAGCCAGCGUUUUAAUUCUGCUUUUUAUUAGAUAAUGAAGCCACACAGUAGCUGUGCAGGAUAUACAAGGCAAGUUGAUCAAAACUGAUUAGGCAAGGAAAGGACAUAUUAUCUGUAGGUAGUGAAUUGAAUUGUUUCUUUUUGGUCAAUAUGUCUUACGAGGUUUUAGAACUAAUGGAUCUCAGCCUUUCAAGCCUCAUUUAGAGUGAGACCAAAGAGGAAAAUCAAGUCUUCCUUGGUUUUCCAGCUUGCUAUGAACUGUGUAGUGCUGAUCAGAACAUUAGGUAUCGAAUCAAAAAAUACUAAUAAUGAAUAAACGGAACAAACCCUCCUAGAAUAGCCAGAAAAGGCUGCAAAUUGUAAGGAA